ACGUAGGAGACAAGCGUUAUCCGGAUUCACUGGGUGUAAAGCGCGUGCAGGCGGUCUGGUAAGUUGAAUGUGAAAGCUCCUGGCUUAACUGGGAGAGGUCGUUCAAUACUGCUGGACUAGAGGAUGGCAGAGGGGAGUGGAAUUCCGAGUGUAGCGGUAAAAUGCAUAGAUAUUCGGAAGAACACCAAUGGCGAAGGCGGCUCUCUGGGCCAUUUCUGACGCUCAGACGCGAAAGCUAGGGUAGCAAACGGGAUUAGAGACCCCGGUAGUCCUAGCCGUAAACGAUGUGAACUUGGCGUUGGUGGGUUCAAAUCCAUCAGUGCCGUAGCAAACGCGAUAAGUUCACCACCUGGGGACUACGGCCGCAAGGUUA
rnacentral:rRNA from 1 species